rnacentral:tRNA from 1 species
ACCGCCCUAGUAUAAACAUUACAAAUGACUUCCAAUCAUUUUAUCUUGGCCUAACCCCAAGGGGCGAUA